rnacentral:rRNA from 1 species
GUGAGGAAUAUUGGUCAAUGGGCGCAAGCCUGAACCAGCCAUCCCGCGUGCAGGAAGACGGCGCUAUGCGUUGUAAACUGCUUUUCCAGGGAGAGAAACUUGCGCACGUGUUGCGCAAUUGACGGUACCCUGGGAAUAAGCAUCGGCUAACUCCGUGCCAGCAGCCGCGGUAAUACGGAGGAUGCGAGCGUUAUCCGGAUUCAUUGGGUUUAAAGGGUGCGUAGGCGGACUAUUAAGUCAGUGGUGAAAUCCUGCAGCUUAACUGCAGAACUGCCAUUGAUACUGAUAGCCUUGAGUUUGGUUAAGGUAGGCGGAAUGUGUAAUGUAGCGGUGAAAUGCUUAGAUAUUACACAGAACACCAAUUGCGUAGGCAGCUUACUGAGCCGACACUGACGCUGAGGCACGAAAGCGUGGGGAUCGAACAGGAUUAGAUACCCGGGUAGUCC